UGGAAGCUUCUACAUGUAUCUCAGAAGCAUUUUCCUCAGUUUUGGCUUUCCAGAUUUACCUACAUUAAUAUCACUUCUGCCAUCUACACAAAAGUCAGAGCUCAUAAGUACCUUCAAUACCUCAGAACUGCAACAGUUUCUUAGUCAAUCCAGCGUGAUUAAUAACAACUCGGGCAUUUGUGACAUUUUCAACAACUUCAACAACACUGCCACCUUCCUUGAAACUGAGGACGUUCCAGAUGAUUUGAAGGUAGUGAUCCUCCCUUGUGUCUGGCCCUUGGCGCUGAGCAGCUACAGCAGAAUUGAAGUCAAUUUGUGGUUUAACCUGCGGUUGAAAAACUAUUUAAGAUUCCUCACUAAAAACCUCAUCAGCUACACUGAAGUACAGAAUACCACAGGUGUCGCCUUCCAGGAACUAUAAGUCUUCUCUCAGGCUCAGAACAUUCACUGGAUGGAUGGCAUGAAACUCAUUUUGUAUUACUGUCCUUUAAACAGGGUCAGUUUUAUGGGAAACAGCUUCACAUACAACAUCUGAGAGUUUGGACGGGCUGAUGUGUACACAUCCAUAAACAGCUACUUAAGAGUUGGGUCUGGAGCCAGAUGCUACAAUUCCAAAGACCCAGAACUAAACUCUACCUCCUGGUUUGCCAACUACAUCGGCAGCUUUGUGACAUUUAUUACCCUGGAUGAUCUCACCACCUUUGUCUCCACC